rnacentral:lncRNA from 1 species
CCCCCUCCCAUUUCACCGGAUGUUCUGUAGCACAGUGUCCUUGUGGCAAACUUAUGGGAGGAUACAGACAAGCAUAGUACAAGAUGAGGGGUCAUGGACAGCUCACAAUUUACAUUUUUGGUGGGAAUAUCCAAAACAAUGAGAUCAUAGAUCUAUUAGGAUUUUUGAACCAUUUCUUUAGAAUUUUUAUCUCUUUGUAGAAAAGUUGAUUUAAAAAGACAGUACAUGAAAAAUAAUAUUAAUGACUAGCAUUUAUGCAGUAUGUUAAGGUUUGCAAAGUGCUUUAUUUACAUUUUCUCAUUUGAAUCUCCCAAGCCUGUGUAGUAAGUGACAUUAUUAUCCCCAUUUAUAGAUGAAGAAACUCAGGCUAAGAGAUUGAUUAGGCUGACCCAUUUGCAGGAUUUGAACACAGAUUUUGAAGGCUAUUUUCUCUCCACAGUACCAUCUAGCUGCUUCUAGACCAACAAGCUCUUGGAGUUGGGGCUGAACCACUGACAGCAAUAUUUUAAAGAUGUGGGUCAACCAGGGAGCCUCCCAAGGGACAUCCACUGAGGGGACAUCUGGCCUGCCUCAUUCCCUACCUCAAUUGCUGGCUUUUCCUGUUGGCUACAGAGGGCACUAUCCUUGUGAUCACAGUCACCUCAAAAAUUUCCUUCACACAUAAGCGAAACAAAAGAAAUUCAUAUGUACAAAGUCAUAUAUGUACAAGCAAAAAGACAGUCAUAUAUUUACAUAUGCAAAAAUACAGUCAAAUAUAUUUAUAUAUACAAACAAAAG